rnacentral:rRNA from 1 species
AUUGGGGAAUCUUCCGCAAUGGGCGAAAGCCUGACGGAGCAGUGCCGCGUGGUGGAUGAAGGCCCUCGGGUUGUAAACACCUGUCAGUAGGGAGGAAAUUUUGACCGAUCUACAGAGGAAGUCCGGGCUAAGUACGUGCCAGCAGCCGCGGUAAUACGUACCGGACGAACGUUAUUCGGAAUUACUGGGCUUAAAGAGUACGUAGGCUGUUUUGUAGGUGAGGUGUGAAAUCCCACGGCUCAACCGUGGAACUGCGCUUCAAACCACAAAACUCGAGGGAGACAGGGGUGAGCGGAACUGAUGGUGGAGCGGUGAAAUGCGUUGAUAUCAUCAGGAACACCGGUGGCGAAGGCGGCUCACUGGGUCUUUUCUGACGCUGAGGUACGAAAGCUAGGGUAGCGAAAGGGAUUAGAUACCCCUGUAGUCAAU